CCUACGUGUGGCAGCAGUGAGGAAUAUUGAUCAAUGGGCGCGAGCCUGAACCAGCCAAGUCGCGUGAGGGAUGACGGCCCUAAGGGUUGUAAACCUCUUUUGCCGGGGAGCAACGGGCGCCACGUGUAGCCCCACUGAGAGUACCCGGAGAAAAAGCAUCGGCUAACUCCGUGCCAGCAGCCGCGGUAAUACGGAGGAUGCGAGCGUUAUCCGGAUUUAUUGGGUUUAAAGGGUGCGUAGGCGGAUCGUUAAGUCAGUGGUCAAAUUGAGGGGCUCAACCCCUGCCCGCCAUUGAAACUGGCGUUCUUGAGUGGAAGAGAAGUAUGCGGAAUGCGUGGUGUAGCGGUGAAAUGCAUAGAGAUCACGCAGAACCCCGAUUGCGAAGGCAGCAUGCCGGCUUCCGACUGACGCUGAAGCACGAAAGCGUGGGGAUCGAACAGGAUUAGAUACCCGAGUAGUC
rnacentral:rRNA from 1 species